GAUGAAGAACGCAGCGAAAUGCGAUAAGUAAUGUGAAUUGCAGAAUUCAGUGAAUCAUCGAAUCUUUGAACGCACCUUGCGCUCCUUGGUAUUCCGAGGAGCAUGCCUGUUUGAGUGUCAUGAAACCCUCAAACCCAAGUUUUGGAUUUCGAUCCAUGCUUGAGUUUGGAUUUGGAUGUUUGCCGGUGAUGAACCGACUCAUCUUAAAAGUAUUAGCUUGGAUCUGUCUAUAUGACUGGUUUGACUUGGCAUAAUAAGUAUUUUGCUGAGGACAUCUUCGGAUGGCCAGGACCUAGACUACUGUCUGCUAACUAAACCAUCACUUUAAGUGCAACUUUGGAUGUUACUCAUUGUGUAACUUUGACAUCUGGCCUCAAAUCAAGUAGGACUACCCGCUGAACUUAAGCAUAUCAAUAAGCGGAGGA
rnacentral:misc_RNA from 1 species